rnacentral:rRNA from 1 species
ACGCUCGACACCUACGGGAGGUAGCAGUGGGGAAUAUUGCACAAUGGGGGAAACCCUGAUGCAGCGACGCCGCGUGGAGGAAGAAGGUCUUCGGAUUGUAAACUCCUGUUGUUGGGGAAAAAGAGGAUGGUACCCAACAAGGAAGUGACGGCUAACUACGUGCCUGCAGCCGCGGUAAUCUGAGCGGGCUGGCAAGGC